UGUUAAUGGAAUGACUCCAUACAGGAAGGUUACAUUUAGACUGGAAGAAGCAUAUCUAUCUGAUGCGGAGUCAUAGCUCCAGGCUCUCCUGAGUGGGUUUUCUCUUCUCAUUGAUUUUGCCUACUGCCAAAUAUAGAAGAUAUUGAAGCGAUGACCAGCAUCCACUCUGUUGCGUAAUUCCAAGUCUCCUGGAUUUCACAGCACAAGGAACAUAAAAAAAUUAUUGACCGAGAAAAACACCAGGAAUUAGACGGGAACUGAUGGCCAGACAACCAGUAACAGUCAACUCCGUGUGGGAGUCCCAAGAGAGGACGCCUUCACAGCCCCUGCCUCACAGUUCAUGUUCAAGAUUACUGGUUGUGUUUCCUGAGAGGAAGCAUAUAGAGAUGGAGGGAAAGAUGAUUACAUCUUGAAUUAAUUAAGCUUUUGAGAUGACCCAGAUGGUUGAUAUCUAGCCAGUGGACACAAGAAGAAAAGAGAGUUACAAUCCCUCUUCCAUUAAAUAAAACUUAAU